GACGAACGCUGGCGGCGUGCUUAACACAUGCAAGUCGAACGAAGAGCGAUGGAAGCUUGCUUCUAUCAAUCUUAGUGGCGAACGGGUGAGUAACGCGUAAUCAACCUGCCCUUCAGAGGGGGACAACAGUUGGAAACGACUGCUAAUACCGCAUACGAUCUAAUCUCGGCAUCGAGGAUAGAUGAAAGGUGGCCUCUACAUGUAAGCUAUCACUGAAGGAGGGGAUUGCGUCUGAUUAGCUAGUUGGAGGGGUAACGGCCCACCAAGGCGAUGAUCAGUAGCCGGUCUGAGAGGAUGAACGGCCACAUUGGGACUGAGACACGGCCCAGACUCCUACGGGAGGCAGCAGUGGGGAAUCUUCCGCAAUGGACGAAAGUCUGACGGAGCAACGCCGCGUGAGUGAUGACGGUCUUCGGGUUGUAAAGCUCUGUUAAUCGGGACGAAAGGCCUUCUUGCGAAUAGUGAGAAGGAUUGACGGUACCGGAAUAGAAAGCCACGGCUAACUACGUG
rnacentral:rRNA from 1 species